rfam:Neotoma lepida isolate 417 scaffold_1892, whole genome shotgun sequence.
ACCACUGAGCCAUCUCUCCAGCCCCCAAAUCAACAUUUUUUUUAAAAAAGGGACUGGAGAGAUGGCUCAGUGGU